rnacentral:rRNA from 1 species
GGGUCAGUAGGUUGGUCGUGCCACCGGUACGUACUGGUCUCACUGAUUCCUCCUUCCUGAAGAACCGUAAUGCCAUUAAUUUGGUGUUGCGGGGAAACAGGACUGUUACUUUGAAAUAAUUAGAGUGUUUAAAGCAAGCUAACGCUUGAAUACAUUAGCAUGGAAUAAUGAAAUAGGACGAUCGAUCCUAUUUUGUUGGUUUCUAGGAUUGACGUA